UGGAGUGACAUUGUGGUGCGAAAUAUA
rnacentral:piRNA from 1 species